ACAGUAAACAACAUAGGAAAGGCAAACAGAAGAGCUCAGCCCAUGCUGAAGGUUUCCCGUUCAUUUGAGCAUAGAAACAAUAUGUGAACUUGCUAAUCACCUAUUCUCUUGGAAAUAGACUAGAAAAGCAGCAGCAAAAGGUCUUUGCACUGAAUCUUUCUAGAUGUGUAAGAAUCAAAGAUGAGUUUGUUCAUGUGGAAAAUAACAUCAUGUGCAAAACUGACAAACUCAGGUAGAGCUCUGGCUCCUUGACAUAGUAAGUCAAGGCAAUGCUUGUAGCACUUAAAGUGUGUGUGUGUGUGUGUGGUUGUGUGUGUGUGGUUGUACUCAUGUAUGUAUUUCCAAAUCAAUAGUCUCAGAUGAGGAAAUACUUUUGGAGAGGAGUACACUAUUUUGAUUUCUGAAGAAUCACUUGUGGCCCUGAGCUGAGGAAGUAGAUAGGUUUAUACAAAUGAUUUAACUGCUUUGUGCCACACUUGCUUUUUCUAAUUCAUCCACAAAACUAUACACUUAAUGUUAUGUGCACAUUUA